rnacentral:rRNA from 1 species
AGAGUUGAUCCUGGCUCAGGACGACGCUGGCGGCGUGCUUAACACAUGCAAGUCGAGCGAUGAAGCUCUUCGGAAGUGGAUUAGCGGCGGACGGGUGAGUAACACGUGGGUAACCUGCCUCAUAGAGGGGAAUAGCCUUCCGAAAGGAAGAUUAAUACCGCAUAAGAUUGUAAUAUCGCAUGAUAUAGCAAUUAAAGGAGUAAUCCGCUAUGAGAUGGACCCGCGUCGCAUUAGCUAGUUGGUGAGGUAACGGCUCACCAAGGCGACGAUGCGUAGCCGACCUGAGAGGGUGAUCGGCCACAUUGGGACUGAGACACGGCCCAGACUCCUACGGGAGGCAGCAGUGGGGAAUAUUGCACAAUGGGGGAAACCCUGAUGCAGCAAAACCGCCGCGUGAGUGAUGACGGUCUUCGGAUUGUAAAGCUCUGUCUUCAGGGACGAUAAUGACGGUACCUGAGGAGGAAGCCACGGCUAACUACGUGCCAGCAGCUGC